AUGCUCAUAUUGGUAGCACAUAUACAAAAAUUGGAAGAUUACAAAGAUUAGUAUGGCCCCUGUGUAAGGAUGACAAAAAAAUUCAUGAAGCACUCCAUAUUUGG